rnacentral:rRNA from 1 species
GACGAAGGAUGCAAGCGUUAUCCGGAUUCAUUGGGCUUAAAGGGAGUGUAGGCGGUCUUAUAAGUCAGUGGUGAAAUCUCCCCGCUUAACGAGGAAACUGCCAUUGAUACUGUAGGACUUGAGUAUCGUUGCUGUGGGCGGAAUAUGACAUGUAGUGGUGAAAUACUUAGAGAUGUCAUAGAACACCGAUUGCGAAGGCAGCUCACAAAACUAUAACUGACGCUGAGGCUCGAAAGUGCGGGGAUCAAACAGG